GAUGAACGCUGGCGGCGUGCCUAAUACAUGCAAGUCGAGCGAACGGACGAGAAGCUUGCUUUUCUGAUGUUAGCGGCGGACGGGUGAGUAACACGUGGAUAACCUACCUAUAAGACUGGGAUAACUUCGGGAAACCGGAGCUAAUACCGGAUAAUAUUUUGAACCGCAUGGUUCAAAAGUGAAAGACGGUCUUGCUGUCACUUAUAGAUGGAUCCGCGCUGCAUUAGCUAGUUGGUAAGGUAACGGCUUACCAGGGCAACGAUGCAUAGCCGACCUGAGAGGGUGAUUGGCCACACUGGAACUGAGACACGGUCCAGACUCCUACGGGAGGCAGCAGUAGGGAAUCUUCCGCAAUGGGCGAAAGCCUGACGGAGCAACGCCGCGUGAGUGAUGAAGGUCUUCGGAUCGUAAAACUCUGUUAUUAGGGAAGAACAUAUGUGUAAGUAACUGUGCACAUCUUGACGGUACCUAAUCAGAAAGCCACGGCUAACUACGUG
rnacentral:rRNA from 1 species